GACGAACGCUGGCGGCGUGCCUAGUACAUGCAAGUAGAACGCUGAAACUUGGUGCUUGCACCGAGCGGAUGAGUUGCGAACGGGUGAGUAACGCGUAGGUAACCUGCCUGGUAGCGGGGGAUAACUAUUGGAAACGAUAGCUAAUACCGCAUAAGAGUAGAUGUUGCAUGACAUUUGCUUAAAAGGUGCAAUUGCACCACUACCAGAUGGACCUGCGUUGUAUUAGCUAGUUGGUGGGGUAACGGCUCACCAAGGCGACGAUACAUAGCCGACCUGAGAGGGUGAUCGGCCACACUGGGACUGAGACACGGCCCAGACUCCUACGGGAGGCAGCAGGAGGGAAUCUUCGGCAAUGGACGGAAGUCUGACCGAGCAACGCCGCGUGAGUGAAGAAGGUUUUCGGAUCGUAAAGCUCUGUUGUAAGAGAAGAACGAGUGUGAGAGUGGAAAGUUCACACUGUGACGGUAUCUUACCAGAAAGGGACGGCUAACUACGUG
rnacentral:rRNA from 1 species